GUCACUCAGCGCCGGGUCAGAGCACGGAUUCGAAUCACGGCGCCCGCGGGGAAGGCGUCGCCUGGCUGGCUGGCUGGUUGCUAAGGAGGCAGCAUCACGUGACGGGCGCUGGGCUGCAUCUCCAGGGUCCUGCUGGUAGUCAGCUGGGCAUCAGCUGAGGAAGGGAGAAGGGUGGCCUUGCAGGCCCAGCUGGAGGCUGUUGGAGGAAGGAAGACCUCUUAUUCUUGCAAAAGCUUGGAAUAUCACUGGCAGAGGGUCAUACAGGAUCAGACUGGGCCACAGGUUUCGCAUCCUAUUCUUGACUGAUAUCACAGAGACUUCUUUCCAGAUAUAUUUAGCUAUAACAUUUCUCCUUCCCUUCUGCAAAGCAAAAGAAAUAGCUUUCCCAGUUAAUAUUUCUUCUAUGUUUAAACAGAAAGAAGCAUACUUGGGCAGAAUAAUAUUUACUGAGUUCUUAUAGCAACUACAAAAUUGUCAAUAAAACAUUUGGACUGAGCAGAAUGUAAUGAACACACAGGGAGAGCUCAUAAUUCUGACAGAAGAUAUGGAGAUACAAUCAGUUUACUUGCAGAAGAGGCAACAGGAUAACGACUUCAGACAUGUAUUAGGAAUUUGUUGCUUUUGUUGUUCCAAGAGGGCAGUGGAAAGCUGGAGAACAAGACCAUCACCCCAGAAUUUCCAGUAUAUGUCUUUUAGAUAAAGUUUGUUAAAAUAGUAACUGACAAACUAUAAUAAGGAAAAUUUACUAUAAAUUCUUUUAGUUUCAGGUGAUAAAAAUUGAUAUUGAAAACA